rnacentral:rRNA from 1 species
UACGUAGGGUGCAAGCGUUGUCCGGAAUUAUUGGGCGUAAAGGGCGCGUAGGCGGCCUUCUAAGUCAGACGUGAAAUCCCCCGGCUUAACCUGGGAACUGCGUCUGAUACUGGAGGGCUUGAGUGCGGGAGAGGGAUGUGGAAUUCCAGGUGUAGCGGUGAAAUGCGUAGAUAUCUGGAGGAACACCGGUGGCGAAGGCGGCAUCCUGGACCGACACUGACGCUGAGGCGCGAAAGCUAGGGUAGCAAACGGG